AACGAACGCUGGCGGCGCGCCUAACACAUGCAAGUCGAACGCGAAAAGGGGCAACCCUUAGUAAAGUGGCGCACGGGUGAGUAACGCGUAGGUGAUCUAGCUUUGUGACCGGAAUAACUAGCCGAAAGGUUAGCUAAUACUGGAUAGAGCGCAAGGUUCAUAAAGAAUCAUGCGGGAAAAGGAGGCGUAGCAAUACGCUUUUGCACUAAGAUGAGCCUGCGUCCCAUCAGCUAGUUGGUAAGGUAACGGCUUACCAAGGCAAUGACGGGUAGCUGGUCUGAGAGGACGAUCAGCCACACUGGAACUGAAACACGGUCCAGACUCCUACGGGAGGCAGCAGUGGGGAAUCUUGCGCAAUGGGCGAAAGCCUGACGCAGCGACGCCGCGUGGGUGAAGAAGGUUUUCGGAUCGUAAAGCCCUGUCGAGAGGGAAAAACGGCUAUAC
rnacentral:rRNA from 1 species